rnacentral:rRNA from 1 species
AACGAACGCUGGCGGCAUGCCUAACACAUGCAAGUCGAACGAGACCUUCGGGUCUAGUGGCGCACGGGUGCGUAACGCGUGGGAAUCUACCCUUGGGUUCGGAAUAACAGUUAGAAAUGACUGCUAAUACCGGAUGAUGUCUUCGGACCAAAGAUUUAUCGCCCAGGGAUGAGCCCGCGUAGGAUUAGCUUGUUGGUGAGGUAAAAGCCCACCAAGGCGACGAUCCUUAGCUGGUCUGAGAGGAUGAUCAGCCACACUGGGACUGAGACACGGCCCAGACUCCUACGGGAGGCAGCAGUGGGGAAUAUUGGACAAUGGGCGAAAGCCUGAUCCAGCAAUGCCGCGUGAGUGAUGAAGGCCUUAGGGUUGUAAAGCUCUUUUACCCGGGAUGAUAAUGACAGUACCGGGAGAAUAAGCUCCGGCUAACUCCGUGCCAGCCGCCGCAGUAAAAC